UGGGGAAUAUUGCACAAUGGGGGAAACCCUGAUGCAGCGACGCCGCGUGAACGAAGAAGGUAUUCGUAUCGUAAAGUUCUGUCCUAUGGGAAGAUAAUGACAGUACCAUAGAAGAAAGCUCCGGCUAAAUACGUGCCAGCAGCCGCGGUAAUACGUAUGGAGCGAGCGUUGUCCGGAAUUAUUGGGCGUAAAGGGUACGCAGGCGGUUUAAAAAGUCGAAUGUUAAAGAUCGGGGCUCAACCCCGUAAAGCAUUGGAAACUGAUAAACUUGAGUAGUGGAGAGGAAAGUGGAAUUCCUAGUGUAGUGGUGAAAUACGUAGAUAUUAGGAGGAAUACCAGUAGCGAAGGCGACUUUCUGGACACAAACUGACGCUGAGGUACGAAAGCGUGGGGAGCAAACAGG
rnacentral:rRNA from 1 species